UCCGGGGGGGGCAAUCGUUGUUCGGAAUUACUGGGCGUAAAGGGCUCGUAGGCGGCCAACUAAGUCGGGAGUGAAAUCCCUCGGCUUAACCGAGGAAUGGCGUCCGAUACUGGAUGGCUUGAGUCCGGGAGAGGGAUGCGGAAUUCCAGGUGUAGCGGUGAAAUGCGUAGAUAUCUGGAGGAACACCGGUGGCGAAGGCGGCAUCCUGGACCGGCACUGACGCUGAGGAGCGAAAGCCAGGGGAGAAAACGGG
rnacentral:rRNA from 1 species